CUGAGAUUUAAAGAGAGAACAGCUGGAAUGCUACAGUGAGAAGAGUUCGCGCUUCUAUCAAGGACUAAUAAACGAACAACAACAACAUCAAAGAAGACAUGAGAAGACGGACAGGCGGGAUCACGCUGAAGAUGGCUGGAUGUAUUGAGAUCUGCAGUGGAGCUCCAAUUAUGCCAAAACAGAGCUAGCAGGGACACCUGGGUGGCUCAGUGGUUGAAUGUCUGCCUUCAGCUUGGGGUGUGAUCCCGG